rnacentral:rRNA from 1 species
GAUGAACGCUGGCGGCGUGCCUAAUACAUGCAAGUCGAGCGAACAGACGAGGAGCUUGCUCCUCUUACGUUAGCGGCGGACGGGUGAGUAACACGUGGAUAACCUACCUAUAAGACUGGGAUCACUUCGGGAAACCGGAUCUAAUACCGGAUAAUAUAUUGAACCGCAUGGUUCAAUAGUGAAAGACGGUUUUGCUGUCACUUAUAGAUGGAUCCGCGCCGCAUUAGCUAGUUGGUAAGGUAACGGCUUACCAAGGCAACGAUGCGUAGCCGACCUGAGAGGAUGAUCGGCCACACUGGAACUGAGACACGGUCCAGACUCCUACGGGAGGCAGCAGUAGGGAAUCUUGCGCAAUGGGCGAAAGCCUGACGGAGCAACGCCGCGUGAGUGAUGAAGGUCUUCGGAUCGUAAAACUCUGUUAUUAGGGAAGAACAAAUGUGUAAGUAACUAUGCACGUCUUGACGGUACCUAAUCAGAAAGCCACGGCUAACUACGUG